rnacentral:lncRNA from 1 species
GGGACAAGCAAGUAUCUAGGUUUGUACUUCAACUACUAUUGAAGGAAAGAAGGAUUGGAAUUUAUGUUGAUAUGUGCAUAUCUAAUGGGUGACAUGAAUAAGAAAUAGCGUAAAGUUGAAGAACACGAGAAAAUUAGCAUGAUUAAAUGUUGAGAUCAUACGGUAUUAAGAUAUCCAAUGUAAAAAGGUUUUAUGAUUCCAAAGGACAUUAUGAAUGGUAGUGCAUUAAAUUUAUAAUUAGUGGUACGCCAAAAUAAUAUUGCGAUAAUAAAUUUAGAAUGCAAAGUAAAAUACUCUUCCCAUGACCAUAAUUGGGAUUAUUGUGUUAAAUUAAAAUCGAUUGAGAGGACAUGUUAAAUUGUAAGUAUAAGUUGAGUUCUAUGAGUUUUGUGUUGCUAUUGGAUUACUAUCUCUGCAGUUGUGAUUUUGGAUUUCAUGAAUUAAGAAUUUCAUUCUCAUCGAAGUAAUAUGAAAAGGAAUUCAUGGAUGAUAGGUUAUCUUAUUGUCCAAACUAGGAUUAAAGAAUGUUUAUUUUGGAUAUGAAUGUAAUUUAGCUAAGGUUAUUAUAGCAUAAAACUUUUAUAGACAUUUGAAGAUCAGUAAGGAUUUAGAUUCACAUUGCGUUAUCGAGGUCAUGGCGUUCUGGUAUGGGAAAUAAAUUUGGUGUCGAGAUGAUAUUUACUAAAAAGGAAAAACAAAAUCUUGAUGGUACAUUAAUGUGUGAAAUGUCCCUUGAUAGUUAUAAGGAGCACUAUUUUCGUGAUCCUAAGGAAAUAAAUAUAAUCAAAUGUAUCAAGUUAUACAAUGUGACCAUAAAUGACAAGGUUACAUGAUAUGGUAAAUAGCAAGUAAAUAAAUGUUAUGGUUGUCCUAUAGCCAAAUAAUGUGAUGAGAUAUUUGGGUUAUUAAGUUGUUAAUUUUGUUAAGGCCAUUUGUUGGAUUAAUAUGUUAUAUUACAUACCAUUUGGAGGCUUUAAGCUAAAUUUUGGAAGUUAAGGUGAAUUUGAUCAAUUUUUAGUAAAGUAAUUUUUGGAUUAGUUUCGAAUGUACUUUUGGAUUUCACGAAUAAAAUAUUCUAUUCUUAUCAAGAUCUAUUAGCUAUGGAAUAUAUGGAUAAUAUGUUGGAUAAUCUAAAGUAUAUGGCGAUUGCCGAAUGCAAAUUUUACUCUAUUGUGGAAUGAUAAGCUAUGGAUUAUAUUGCAGAUCGUUAAAGACUUAUGAUUAAAACAUGAUAUAUAGUUGGCUAUAUUGGAGUAGACAUUUAGAAAUUGUGGCAUCACAUGGUGGGAAGAUCAAUACUUACUAACCACAUGAUGUUAAAUUAUAUUUGUAUCCGAAGGAGUUGAACUUGAAGUUUUAUAUAUAUUAUCAUUGGGUGAUAUAGAAUUAAAGGAAAUGAACACCAUUUUGAGCUAUCUCAAUUGUUGUUGGGGAUACCUAUAAUUUUAGAAAAUCAUGAAUAAUUGAAUUUUUGCAGAUAUUGUCAGUUGAGAAUGAAAGUAGUUACCCUUAAAUAUUUUCAUUUGGAGCUCUAGGUAUAUAGAAUGGAGACGAAAUGAUAUUGGGAUCAAUGUUGAUAAACGAUAAAGGUUACAAGAUUCUUUUCAAAUGAUAUAGUUAGUUCAUGAGAUAAAUUUAUAAAAUUGUAUAUAAAUAAGAUUAUAAUUUAUAUGGUGGAGUUGAGUAUCUAUCUUUGACUUAGUUGUAAGGGAUUAUAAGAUUAAAUUACGUUGUGCUGCUUCUUUUAAUAGAAUGUCAGACACGAUGAGGACAAGUUCAGAAGAGAGGUUAUCAACUAUGGUUUGUUAAUUAAAGAGGACUUGGAUAAUUAUCUAUUUUUCAUAGAAUUGACCUAUAAGAGCUAGACACAAAUGACGAUAAUUGAGGUUAUUUAUGAUAAUGGAAUAUUCCAAGUAUGUAUUUAUUGAUGUGAAAUUGGUGAAAGAAUGUUAUUCGGUUUUAGUAUGUAAUCAUUGUUAUAGAAAAAUGGAUUUGACUAGAGAAUUGCUCAAAUCAAGACGUAAGAUGAAACUUCGAAUUGGAAAAUAGCUAAAUUUUUCUAAGAUUUGGUAAAAUGAAAGUUGAGAAUAUCAUAUAUUGGUUUUUGGGAUGUUAUUUCAAAAUUUGGGUCAAUUGUUUAAUGAUGAAGUUUACAACAGUUUAUUUGAUAUUGAAAAAUGUAUCGUCUAUUUCUAAGGCUUAGUAAAUAUCGGAUGUAAAUUAUGAGUUAAGAUUAUUAGUGCAAUUAAAGAGAGCUCGUCUCAAUACAGUUUUAAAGAUAUCGAUAGAGGAAAGGU